GCAUUAAUGGGGUAGUGGUAACCUGGGUCGUUGCCAUGAAAAGUCUCGGAUAGUAGUUUCGACCCGCCGGGGGUUCGAUUCCCUCUUAAUGCA